UACAGAGGGUGCGAGCGUUGUCCGGAAUCACUGGGCGUAAAGGGCGCGUAGGCGGUCUUGUAAGUCGGGGGUGAAAUGCUGCGGCUCAACCGCAGCGCUGCCUUCGAGACUGCAAGACUGGAGCACGGUAGAGGCGGAUGGAAUUCCCGGUGUAGCGGUGGAAUGCGUAGAGAUCGGGAAGAACACCAAUGGCGAAGGCAGUCCGCUGGGCCGUUGCUGACGCUG
rnacentral:rRNA from 1 species